GUGGUCAAGUGUCAAGUGAAUUGGAGCUUUAGUUUCGUAUGUUUCUUCUUUCUUUGGGUGAUAUUUCUACGUUCGUUUCCAAGCUAAGCUCGAGGUCAUUGCUCGGUGGAUGUGUCGUGUGGUCGCCACAUUUUCACUGUUUAGAAAUCAAUUUCUAAACAAUGAUAAAUAGGCAGCACACAACACAUCCACCGAUCACGUGUUUCUCGAGCUUAGUUUUGGUAUCAACGUUGUAAAAUAUGAGUCUUUGUAUUGUCUCCUUUUUUACUUUUUUUUUGCGAUCCUUGACUGUCAGUCAUUACUGGCCGCAUUGUUACGUCUUUGUUUUGGUGGUCAAGUGUCAAGUGAAUUGGAGCUUUAGUUUCGUAUGUUUCUUCUUUCUUUGGGUGAUAUUUCUACGUUCGUUUCCAAGCUAAGCUCGAGGUCAUUGCUCGGUGGAUGUGUCGUGCGGUCGCCACAUUUUCAUUGUUUAGAAAUCAAUUUCUAAACAAUGACAAAUAAGCAGCACACAACACAUCCACCGAUCACGUGUUUCUCGAGCUUAGCUUUGGUAUGAAAGUUGUAAAAUAUGAAUCUUUGCAUUGUCUCCUUUUUUACUUUUUUUGCGAUCCUUGACUGACUGUCAGUCAUUGCUGGCCGUAUUGUUGCUUAUUUGUAAAAAAAAA
rnacentral:lncRNA from 1 species